CCUACGGGGGGCAGCAGUGAGGAAUAUUGGUCAAUGGACGAGAGUCUGAACCAGCCAAGUAGCGUGAAGGAUGACUGCCCUAUGGGUUGUAAACUUCUUUUAUAUGGGAAUAAAAUGUUCCACGUGUGGGAUUUUGUAUGUACCAUAUGAAUAAGGAUCGGCUAACUCCGUGCCAGCAGCCGCGGUAAUACGGAGGAUCCGAGCGUUAUCCGGAUUUAUUGGGUUUAAAGGGAGCGUAGGUGGGUUGUUAAGUCAGUUGUGAAAGUUUGCGGCUCAACCGUAAAAUUGCAGUUGAUACUGGCAGUCUUGAGUACAGUAGAGGUGGGCGGAAUUCGUGGUGUAGCGGUGAAAUGCUUAGAUAUCACGAAGAACUCCGAUUGCGAAGGCAGUUCACUGGACUGCAACUGACACUGAGGCUCGAAAGUGUGGGUAUCAAACAGGAUUAGAUACCCUAGUAGUC
rnacentral:rRNA from 1 species